rnacentral:misc_RNA from 1 species
GAUGAAGAACGCAGCGAAAUGCGAUAAGUAAUGUGAAUUGCAGAAUUCAGUGAAUCAUCGAAUCUUUGAACGCACAUUGCGCCCGCCAGUAUUCUGGCGGGCAUGCCUGUUCGAGCGUCAUUUCAACCCUCAAGCCCCCGGGCUUGGUGUUGGGGAUCGGCGUGCCCUCGAGGCGCGCCGUCCCCUAAAUCUAGUGGCGGUCUCGCUGUAGCUUCCUCUGCGUAGUAGCAACACUCGCACUGGAUCGCAGCGCGGCCACGCCGUUAAACCCCCCACUUCUGAAAGUUUGACCUCGGAUCAGGUAGGAAUACCCGCUGAACUUAAGCAUAUCAAUAAGCGGAGGA